UAGUUACUCCCUCCGUCUAAAAAUACUUGUCAUUAAAAUGGAUAAAAAGAGAUGUAUCUAUAACUAAAAUACAUUUAGAUACAUCCCCUUUUAUCCAUUUUGAUGACAAGUAUUUUCGUACGGAGGAAGUAUUAA
rnacentral:pre_miRNA from 1 species